rnacentral:lncRNA from 1 species
CCCCUAGUCCCACUAGUCUAUCCUCCCAGCCUCUCAGACUGAAUCCUCUAGUCCCACUAGACUACCCUUCCAGCCUCUCAGACUGAAUCUCCUAGUCCCACUAGACUAUCCUCCCAGCCUCUCAGACUGAAUCUUCUAGUCCCACUAGACUAUCCUUCCAGCCUCUCAGACUGAAUCUCCUAGUCCCACUAGACUAUCCUUUCAGCCUCUCAGACUGAAUCUCCUAGUCCCACUAGACUAUCCUUUCAGCCUCUCAGACUGAAUCUCCUAGUCCCACUAGACUGCCCUUCCAGUCCUCCCAGACUGAAUCUCCUAGUCCCACUAGACUAUCCUUCCAGCCUCUCAGACUGAAUCUCCUAGUCCCACUAGACUAUCCUUCCAGCCUCUCAGACUGAAUCUCCUAGUCCCACUAGACUAUCCUUUCAGCCUCUCAGACUGAAUCUCCUAGUCCCACUAGACUAUCCUUCCAGCCUCUCAGACUGAAUCUCCUAGUCCCACUAGACUAUCCUUUCAGCCUCUCAGACUGAAUCUCCUAGUCCCACUAGACUAUCCUUCCAGCCUCUCAGACUGAAUCUCCUAGUCCCACUAGACUGCCCUUCCAGUCCUCCCAGACUGAAUCUCCUAGUCCCACUAGACUAUCCUUCCAGCCUCUCAGACUGAAUCUCCUAGUCCCACUAGACUAUCCUUCCAGCCUCUCAGAC